CCGACUACAUAUUUUUGCUAUAUCUUUAAAAGGCAGAUAUUAUACAAGACAAUCUAUUGUUUAAGCAUUCGUGUUUGCCUCAGCACUGAUGAAUGAUAAACUAUAGCAGACUGCGACUGAAUACAUGAUGAUGGUAUCUUUGUAACAACAGCUGAUCCUCGCCUGUGUUGCCGCCGUGGCCGUCGCCGCUCCCCAGUACAGCUAUGGGGUUCCUUCUGCUGAGUCUAGCGAGGAAGUCGCUGCUCCUCAGACCAGCUAUGGCGCUCCUCGUGCUGUGUCCAGCGAGGAGGUUGAGUUUGUGCCAAUCCUCAAGGACGACCGCGUCCACGAGGAAGACGGAACCUACAACUUCGACUUCGAAGCUGCUAACGGCAUCAGCUUCUCCCAGGCUGGAUCCCCCGACGGUGAUGACGAUGCUGUGAUCAAGGCUGGAGAAUACUCAUACACCGCUCCUGACGGCACUGAAGUCCAUGUCAAGUACGUGGCUGACGAGAACGGCUUCCAGCCCCAGUCCGACAUCCUCCCCGUGGCCCCCGCUUUCCCCCACCCGAUCCCUCAGUUCGUCCUCGACCAGAUCGCCUUCGCCGCCGAGGAGGACGCCGCCCGCGCCCGUGCUGGUUAUGAUUCCGACGAAGUUGCCGCCCCAUCUACUCUCUACGGCCGCCCCAACUAAAACUUGACGCAAACAUUGUAUUUAUUCUAUUUAUAAUGAGAAUAGAAUUAAAAAAACACAACUA